AAUCAAAAAAAUUUUUUUAAGUGUAAAAUUUUAAAAUAACAAAGAAAAUAACUUAAAAAAUAAUCAAAAUAUUUCAAUCAAAUUUAUUCACAACUCGCAUAUUACAUUUUCUGCUCAACUAAAAAAAAAUCAAAAGAAUAGAAUAUAAAUUAACAAAACCAAAAAAAAAUAUGCAAUAACCCUAAGGCGUUUUUGUGUUUUGCCAAAGCAUCGAAUACAAAAAAAGGAUUAAUAUUUAUACAAUUGAAAUAACGUUCUAUACGUGAGCAAGGAUAAUAAAAAUAGCUGAAGAAUCAAAUUAAACAAAUUUUUUUAAUUAAAUUGAAAAAGAAAUAACAAAAAAAAAAAAAAAAACGUAACCUAGACGUACAAGUAAUAUUAAUCUACUUAAACGUUUAAAAAUCUUAAAAGCUUUUUACAGAAUUUUAAAUCAAAACAUAAAUUAAAAAGAAAAAUGUGAGAAACAGUGAAAACACAACGAAAAACUUAAUUAAUUAGGCAAAACCAUUUACAGACAUACAACCCACAACCAAAGAAAAAGAAAAGUGGGGAGAAAAUACGAAGUAAGACAUAAUUUAUGAAUGUUGAAAAUUACAUUUACAGAAAAGUAAAA